UACGGAGGGUGCAAGCGUUAUCCGGAUUCACUGGGUUUAAAGGGUGCGUAGGUGGGUUGGUAAGUCAGUGGUGAAAUCUCCGUGCUUAACAUGGAAACUGCCAUUGAUACUACUGAUCUUGAAUUUUCGGGAGGUAAGCGGAAUAUGUCAUGUAGCGGUGAAAUGCUUAGAUAUGACAUAGAACACCAAUUGCGAAGGCAGCUUACUACAGGAAUAUUGACACUGAUGCACGAAAGCGUGGGGAU
rnacentral:rRNA from 1 species